rnacentral:rRNA from 1 species
GACGAACGCUGGCGGCGUGCUUAACACAUGCAAGUCGAACGAUGAACCCGGAGCUUGCUCCGGCGGAUUAGUGGCGAACGGGUGAGUAACACGUGAGUAACUUGCCCUUGACUCUGGGAUAACUGCGGGAAACUGUAGCUAAUACCGGAUACGACCCUCGGCGGCAUCGCCAGGGGGUGGAAAGAAUUUCGGUCAAGGGAUGGACUCGCGGCCUAUCAGCUAGUUGGUGAGGUAACGGCUCACCAAGGCGACGACGGGUAGCCGGCCUGAGAGGGUGGCCGGCAACGCUGGGACGGGGACCAGGCCCAGACUUCUGCGGAAGGCAGCAGUGGGGAAUAUUGAACAAUGGGCGCAAGCCUGAAGCAGCAUCGCCGCGUGAGGGAUGACGGCCUUCGGGUUGUAAACCUCGUUUAGUAGGGAAGAGGCGAAAGUGACGGUACCUGCAGAAAAAGCACCGGCUAACUACGUGCCAGCAGCCGCCGUAA